CUCUCUCUCUCUCUCUCUCUCUCUCUCUCUCUCUCUGUUUGUAAAGCGAAAAGGGAACGGAACCAUGGUGGAACCAUUUCUCUAUCUAUUUCCAAAGCAGAAAGCGGAAUGGAACAAGAGAAGAAUGAGAUUUGACGAUGCCCCUGUCGAUUGGCACUCUCUCCAAAUCGAUUAGUAUGAUGAUCGUCACCUAUUAGUCGUCCCUCCAUCGCCACGCUGCUGCAGUCGCAAUCCUCAAUUUUUUUCCUCCAGCAACCCUGUCGUCAAACGCUUCCAACAGACACCCCAUCUCAAUUGAGACUCAACAGAGUUUGAUGCCCGAUCCACCAAAUCUUCCACCCACCUUCGACAAAGUUAUUAUUUCCUUCUCCCAUUCCACCUUCGUCUGACUCUGACGUCAGACUCAUUACCAUACUCUUUACUUGCAGUGCUCUUUUAGUUAUUGGCAUAGGAAGUCGUCAUAUGUUUAACGAUCUAUUCAAAUCAGUAAAUUCUAAGUCUUCUUUG
rnacentral:lncRNA from 1 species